rnacentral:rRNA from 1 species
GACGAACGCUGGCGGUGUACUUAACACAUGCAAGUCGAACGGUAAGGCCCUUUCGGGGGUACACGAGUGGCGAACGGGUGAGUAACACGUGAGUAACCUGCCCUCAUCUCUGGGAUAACAGUCGGAAACGGUUGCUAAUACUGGAUAUGAGCUUGCAAGGCAUCUUGUGGGUUGGAAAGAUUUUUUUUGGUUGGGGAUGGACUCGCGGCCUAUCAGCUUGUUGGUGAGGUAGUGGCUCACCAAGGCUUCGACGGGUAGCCGGCCUGAGAGGGCGACCGGCCACAUUGGGACUGAGAUACGGCCCAAACUCCUACGGGAGGCAGCAGUGGGGAAUAUUGCACAAUGGACGGAAGUCUGAUGCAGCAACGCCGCGUGCGGGAUGACGGCCUUCGGGUUGUAAACCGCUUUCAAUUGUGACGAAGCUUUUUUGUGACGGUAGCAGUAGAAGAAGCACCGGCUAACUACGUG